UCAGAUGAACGCUAGCGGCAGGCCUAAUACAUGCAAGUCGGACGGGAUUUAGGAGCUUGCUCUUAAUGAGAGUGGCGCACGGGUGCGUAACACGUAUGUAACCUACCAUUGUCAGGGGGAUAGCCUCUCGAAAGAGAGAUUAAGACCGCAUAACAUCAUAGAGCAGCAUUGCUUAGUGAUCAAAUAUUUAUAGGACAAUGAUGGGCAUGCGGGACAUUAGCUAGAUGGUGAGGUAACGGCUCACCAUGGCGACGAUGUCUAGGGGAUCUGAGAGGAUGACCCCCCACACUGGUACUGAGACACGGACCAGACUCCUACGGGAGGCAGCAGUAAGGAAUAUUGGUCAAUGGAGGGAACUCUGAACCAGCCAUGCCGCGUGCAGGAAGACGGCCCUACGGGUUGUAAACUGCUUUUGUACGGGAAUAAACCUAGAUACGUGUAUCUAGCUGAAUGUACUGUAAGAAUAAGGAUCGGCUAACUCCGUGCCAGCAGCCGCGGUAAUACGGAGGAUCCAAGCGUUAUCCGGAUUUAUUGGGUUUAAAGGGUGCGUAGGCGGCUUGUUAAGUCAGGGGUGAAAGGCGGUAGCUUAACUAUCGGAGUGCCCUUGAUACUGACGAGCUUGAAUGCAGCUGAGGUAGGCGGAAUGUGACAAGUAGCGGUGAAAUGCAUAGAUAUGUCACAGAACACCGAUUGCGAAGGCAGCUUACUAAAGUGCGAUUGACGCUGAGGCACGAAAGCGUGGGGAUCAAACAGGAUUAGAUACCCUGGUAGUCCACGCCCUAAACGAUGAAUACUCGAUGUUGGCGAUAUACGGUCAGCGUCUAAGCGAAAGCGUUAAGUAUCCACCUGGAG
rnacentral:rRNA from 1 species